CUGACACAAUAGGUCUGCCAAAAGGCACAACCCCAGGUUUGUGAACCUUGAGCAGAUGGUGAAAAAUAGGAGCGAUAGGGCACUGGACCUUUAAGAAAGCAGCAUCAGGGGUGAUGACGGAGUUACAAGCAGCUGUAUCAAUUAGUUGGUAUAACUGCUUCUGAUAAUAAACUGAAGAGUCGAACCAAAGACAGGUAAGUGACUUCAUAUCUUAACUGAUGGAAAGCUUCAUUGAGAUAGUCACAUUUAUCGACAACGGCAACAGAGCUGCCUUUCUCAUCCUGCUGCAUGAGUAUGUGAUCAGUAUCAAUAGUUUUGCCCUUUGACUAAUCUGGAUAGAAGACACUUUUAGUUUUUAAACCUGUUCAGGAGCACAGUUUUAACUUCCACAGCAUCAAUUAUAUGCAAAAUGGAACUGUCAUUUUCAGCUCAAGCCUCUAAAAACAAAAGAUGAUCAUCACACAUCUUAGUCACGUUUACAACAAAAGGGAAUUUAAGGACGAUUUUAUUUAAACCCUCCUGAUACAAGUGACCAGAAAGAGUUAUCAAUUAACAUCAAUUAAAGUAUGGUAUAGGUUAAAAUUGUUUGAUGGAGCAAAAUUAAGACCUUUUUUCCAAAAAGUCUGAUUUGAGUAACAGUCAAGGAUUUGUUUGAGAGAUUCAGUAGUCUGUGAUUCUUUCCACUUGGUCGCAGCAGAUACUUCUUUCCUUCUUUUAUUUGAUUGUGUUCCCAGUCUGGUAUGUCUUCUGGGGCAUGCUGUCUGGUUGGCCAGUCUUAUUGUUCAGAAUAAAAAGAAUAAUGGAGUCCACGUGUUUUUUAAGAGAAAAUAUAUUUAUUUUAUAUUAUACAUGAUACAAAAUAUGUCAGUAAAUAUAAAAUAAUGUUUCUAUAUACAAGUUGGUUAUUUGAGUAGUGUUAAGUGACAUACCUUCUUAGCUUAUGUCAGUGCUGUACACUUUGCAUCAGACUUAUUAAAAAAAGACGUUUUUCAUGCAGAUAUUGAUUCAAAUGCAUUCAGCCAAGUGACUUGCAUCAUGAAAGUUUGUAGUGUGGCCGUAUUACAUGAGAUAGACAGGAUUGCCACUGUCCAUAACAUGCAGAAUUUAUAAUAUGAGGCAGGCUGCUAGUGGGUGACAGAGAUAACAAGCCUCAGACUCUACUAUAAACACUGUAAGAGGAAAGGAGCAGUGACAGGGUGCACAAGAUAGACACUGCACAUCAAUGAAAUCACUUACGCAUUCACUCAAAGAUCCAAUGACUGACACAAUAGGUCUGCCAAAAGGCACAAUCCCAGGAACGAGAUAUAGAAUGGUUAAGAGAAAAGGGAAAUCAGAAGUGGAAAGAAAAAUGACUACAUGAGGGUUCAGAGAGAAUUAGGAGAAGAAAAGACAAAUGCUAUGGGAAGGGGAAAUUAAAUAAAUGAGGGGAAAAAGAGAUGUAAUGAUGAGGGGGGAAGAGAGAUGAAAAAGGGUGACUGCAGAAGUUUGAAAGCAGUGCCUUGUGUCAUUGGUGUCUAAAGGGUAACCCCUUUUCUCACUGUCAUUUUUUCAGUUUUCCAUUCCGUAUACCCUCUGUAUGUUAAAGAUUAUACUCCCACCCCCA